GACGAACGCUGGCGGCGUGCCUAAUACAUGCAAGUUGAGCGCUGAAGGUUGGUACUUGUACCAACUGGAUGAGCAGCGAACGGGUGAGUAACGCGUGGGGAAUCUGCCUUUGAGCGGGGGACAACAUUUGGAAACGAAUGCUAAUACCGCAUAAAAACUUUAAACACAAGUUUUAAGUUUGAAAGAUGCAAUUGCAUCACUCAAAGAUGAUCCCGCGUUGUAUUAGCUAGUUGGUGAGGUAAAGGCUCACCAAGGCGAUGAUACAUAGCCGACCUGAGAGGGUGAUCGGCCACAUUGGGACUGAGACACGGCCCAAACUCCUACGGGAGGCAGCAGUAGGGAAUCUUCGGCAAUGGAUGAAAGUCUGACCGAGCAACGCCGCGUGAGGGAAGAAGGUUUUCGGAUCGUAAAACUCUGUUGGUAGAGAAGAACGUUGGUGAGAGUGGAAAGCUCAUCAAGUGACGGUAACUACCCAGAAAGGGACGGCUAACUACGUG
rnacentral:rRNA from 1 species